rnacentral:lncRNA from 1 species
CCCCACCCUGCCCACCUCCCUGUUUCAGCCCAGCCUGGGCUCAUUGACUUGGGUUUUGGUGGUGGUGUAACAGUGCUGCUCUCUUGCUCCCUCCAGCCCUCCUUGGUUGUGGGCUCAUGUCCUGGGUUGUCCCUGUGCCCAGGGGGGUGACAGAGAGGUGUGGGGCUGUCUCCUGCCUGCCCUGCUCAGGUCCUGGCUGUGCAAAGAUGUACUGCAGAGACUCUCCAUGGAAGCCUUUCAGACCAGACUGGCAUUAUAGAGAAGACUGUAUUUCCUCCCUGUUUACAUCACUAUAAGGUAGAGUUAACCCUCAGCUCACGAAGGCACAGCAGCAGUGGGACUGGCUGGGGUUUCCCUGUGCCUGCCACACUUUCAUCCCAGAGCUGCCGGCACAGGAGCAGAGAGCCACGGCUCCUACGAGAAGUGUUCCAUAGCUGCAUGCAGAAGAAGGUGGGAAUACACAGAGGAAAAACUGCUGUGCCCAGCUGGCAGCAUCCCUGGCAUGUGCUGGCAUCCCUGUGGGCUCAGGGAAGCGCCUGGGAGCCCCCAGCAGAUGGUAACUCUGGGGCCCUCAUGCCAAGGCACUAA